AAACUAGUUUGUCCGCUUGGGCCG
rnacentral:siRNA from 1 species